rnacentral:rRNA from 1 species
GUGCCAGCAGCCGCGGUAAUACGUAGGGGGCCAGCGUUGUCCGAAGUUACUGGGCGUAAAGAGCGCGUAGGCGGGUCUUUAAGUGAGAGGUGAAAGGUUCAGGGCUUAACCCGGACACUGCCUUUCAUACUGGAGACCUUGAGUGCGGGAGAGGCGAGUGGAAUGGUCGGUGUAGCGGUGAAAUGCGUAGAUAUCGAUCGGAACACCCAUGGCGAAGGCAGCUCGCUGGCCUGCAACUGACGCUGAGGCGCGAAAGCGUGGGGAGCAAACAGGAUUAGAUACCCCCGUAGUCC